CUUGAGCACGUAGGUGGGUUUGUAAGUCAGGUGUGAAAGCCUUCUGUUCAACGGGAGAAUUGCAUCUGAAACUACGAAUCUUGAGUGCAGGAGGGGAGAAUGGAACUUCUGGUGGAGCGGUGAAAUGCGUAGAUAUCAGAAGGAACGCCGGCGGCGAAAGCGAUUCUCUGGCCUAUUACUGACACUCAGUGUGCGAAAGCUAGGGGAGCAAACGGGAUUAGAUACCCCGGUAGUCCUAGCCGUAAACGAUGGGCACUAAGUAGUGGGAAUUACCGAUGUUCUCUCUGCCGUAGCUAACGCAUUAAGUGCCCCGCCUGGGGAGUACGGCCGCAAGGCUAAAACUCAAAAGAAUUGACGGGGGCUCGCACAAGCGGUGGAGCAUGUGGCUUAAUUCGAUGCAACGCGAAAAACCUUACCGGGGCUUGACAUGUUAGAAGUAGGAACCUGAAAGGGUAACGAACGGUAUCCAGUCCGUAGCUAUCACAGGUGUUGCAUGGCUGUCGUCAGCUCGUGUCGUGAGACGUUGGGUUAAGUCCCCUAACGAGCGAAACCCUUGUUUUUAGUUACCAGCGGGUUAUGCCGGGUACUCUAGAAAGACUGCCGUCGUCAAGACGGAGGAAGGUGGGGAUGACGUCAAGUCAUCAUGGCCCUUAUGCCCCGGGCUGCACACGUGCUACAAUGGUCGGUACAAACGGAAGCGAAGCCGAGAGGUGAAGCGAAUCCAAGC
rnacentral:rRNA from 1 species